CGGUGUGUGGCGCAGCCUGGUAGCGCACUUCCUUCGGGAGGAAGGGGUCGGGAGUUCGAAUCUCCCCACACCGACCA
rnacentral:tRNA from 1 species